AGAGUUUGAUUAUGGCUCAGGAUUAACGCUGGCGGCGUGCCUAAUACAUGCAAGUCGAAUGGUAGCAAUACCAUGGCGAACGGGUGAGUAACACGUAGGUAACCUGUCUUUAAGACGAGGAUAACCGUUGGAAACGGCGGAUAAUACUCGAUAGGUGAUUUUUAGGGCAUCCUAGGAUCAUUAAAGAUUUAUCACUUAGAGAGGGGCCUGCGGCGCAUUAGCUAGAUGGCGGGGUAAUAGCCCACCAUGGCGAUGAUGCGUAGCCGGACUGAGAGGUUGAACGGCCACAAUGGAACUGAGAACGGUCCAUACUCCUACGGGAGGCAGCAGUAGGGAAUUUUCGGCAAUGGGCGAAAGCCUGAACCCGAGCAACGCCGCGUGAACGAAGAAGUAUUUCGGUAUGUAAAGUUCUUUUAUUGGGGAAGAAAAAUAUCCAAAUUGACGGUACCCAAUGAAUAAGCUCCGGCUAACUACGUGCCAGCCGCUGC
rnacentral:rRNA from 1 species